rnacentral:rRNA from 1 species
UCUUCGGAUGCUAGUGGCAGACGGGUGAGUAACACGUGGGAACGUACCUUUCGGUUCGGAAUAAUACAGGGAAACUUGUACUAAUACCGGAUACGCCCUUCGGGGGAAAGAUUUAUCGCCGAUAGAUCGGCCCGCGUCUGAUUAGCUAGUUGGUGAGGUAAUGGCUCACCAAGGCGACGAUCAGUAGCUGGUCUGAGAGGAUGAUCAGCCACACUGGGACUGAGACACGGCCCAGACUCCUACGGGAGGCAGCAGUGGGGAAUAUUGGACAAUGGGCGAAAGCCUGAUCCAGCCAUGCCGCGUGUGUGAUGAAGGCCUUAGGGUUGUAAAGCACUUUUGUCCGGGAAGAUAAUGACUGUACCGGAAGAAUAAGCCCCGGCUAACUUCGUGCCAGCAGCCGCGGUAAUACGAAGGGGGCUAGCGUUGCUCGGAAUCACUGGGCGUAAAGGGCGCGUAGGCGGACUCUUAAGUCGGGGGUGAAAGCCCAGGGCUCAACCCUGGAAUUGCCUUCGAUACUGAGAGUCUUGAGUUCGGAAGAGGUUGGUGGAACUGCGAGUGUAGAGGUGAAAUUCGUAGAUAUUCGCAAGAACACCAGUGGCGAA